UACAUCGGAACGUGCCCGAUCGUGGGGGAGUAACGCAGCGAAAGCUGUGCUAAUACCGCAUACGAUCUACGGAUGAAAGCGGGGGAUCGCAAGACCUCGCGCGGACGGAGCGGCCGAUGGCAGAUUAGGUAGUUGGUGGGGUAAAGGCUCACCAAGCCGACGAUCUGUAGCUGGUCUGAGAGGACGACCAGCCACACUGGGACUGAGACACGGCCCAG
rnacentral:rRNA from 1 species